ACGCGCGCGCACACACCUCCCACCGCUUUGCCCAAAUUAUUUUCGAUCCCGGGAGACUCCGGAUGCCAGACGCGCUCGGCGGCGGCGGCCGUGCCUGAUUCAUUGCGCCAAAGCUGCAGAUGCGACCUCCCGCCUGCGCCCCGUGCCCCGGCCCGCGCUGGGCUGAGCGCGCGCCUUGGAGACGGAAGGGGGGCAAUUUGUAGGCUCUUUCCCCUCCCCACAAAAGGCGGGCCCUAACCCCCCGGGGCCAGGUCCCCUGUCUCCAGCUCCCCGGGCUGCGCUAAUUAGCUUCCUCCGGGGGCGCCACGCGGCGUGAGGGGCGGCAAUUUCCCGGCUGGGCUGCGGGGGAAGCGCUCCUGCCGCCUGGGAAGUGCACGGUCACCAUGGCAACCGCGGAGGAGGUCACGGUAGCUGGGCCCCCGCGCGUCACCCCGCGCCUCGCCGGCUGCAGGCGCCGGGAUUGCGGCCUCCCAGGCGCCGUGGCCCGCGUGGACUCGGCUCCGAGCUCUCUGCCCCCGCUCCGCCCUGCCGACAGCUCGGGCCCCUCCACGGGACUCUGCGGGGUCCCAGCCGGGAAGAUCGCACCUGGGUGCCAGUGCUCUCGGCUACGCUCUGCACCCCCCGCCCACUCCCCGCUUUGGCACGCGGGACUGCGCCAUGUAACACGUGCCCAUCACCAAGCUAGGAACAUGUGCGGCUCUCGCCGAGGGGCUCGCCGCACUUAACAGAUGCCCUGGGGAAUCGACCUAUAUUUGGUGCACAACUCCGCCGUCCUUGCCUCCCAAAAACGAGACCUCCCAUCCCUAAAAGGGCCAGUUAUGGCGUCAGUGCCUAUAGCUGAUCCAGGAGCUGUGUGACUUUUUGGUCAAGUCUCGGCCUUUCUGGGCCUCAGCUUUGCUCGUCAUUAAAAUGGACCUGUAAUGUCGAAAUACUUUGAAA